UUGACUAUUUAUGAAAAUAUAGAUAAGUUUAUGUACAUAUCUAAUAAGUUAAAAAGUGUUUGGAAAUGUUUUCUAUAAACUUUAUUUAUGUACACACUCAUGUGUACCAGCCCAGUGGUGAAAUACACAGGAACGCAGUGAAAAUUUUUCAAUUUAUAAGGAAGCCAUUACUACCAGCAGCUCUGCAGAAUCAUUUCACAAUCAAUUAAGAGCGAAAUUGCCAAAAAAACGAAGUUUUUUUAUAGAUUUUUGGACAUUUCGGCCGAUAUUAAUGCAACGAAAUCAAUAGAUUUUUUGAAAUCAAUUGGUGGAUGUACUAGUUUAUAUAAAACUAAACAAAAAAGGUUUAAAACUCGUUCAAAUUUUGCCCGUGAACGCCUCCAUCUAUUGCAUCAAAAAAAAAAAAAUUACAUUAACAGACAUUCUCAACCAGCUUUCAUUAAAAGAAAACUGCAUAAUCGCAGAAGAUUUUGUUAUUGAAAUUCCAAGUGAUGAUAAUGAUGAUGAUGAUGACGAUGAAGAGCAUUUUGUUAAUAAUGAACAUGUUGAUAAACGCUAUGAACAAAAAGACUCCCUUUGUUUAACAUGCUACGACAAAGAUCGCGAAGUUUUGUGUUUACCAUGUAAACAUUGCAAAAUUUGUCGCGAUUGCUUCAAAAAAAUAGAAGAAUCAUCGCAAAAUAAAGGAAUAAAAGUAUUGUGUCCAUUUUGCCGUUCCAUUGUUAAGGAUAGUAUGCUAAUUUAUAAUUAAAUGUUAACGUUUAUUAGGGUUUUAUUGACUUCAAAUAAUGUUUUUCCAAAUGAAAUCGCAAAGUUGAGGAAUAAACAUUGUGUAAGCGCAGAGAUUAUAAGUUUCCUUUCAUAUAAUUUACAAUAAAUAAUGGAUAUAGAUUUUCUUAUUUUUAUUCAUUUUUUAAA